GCAAGCAUGGGAUUUGGAUUAAAAAUGACACACGCGUGCUGAUGAUAAGUUACCCCAAUGAUUCUAGAACUUUCGUAGAUUCUUUUGCUUCGUGUUGCUCGGUAGGAUUGAGGCUGCUGAGCUUGCAUCAGCAAGUCAUGUACUCUCUUCUGGUCGACGUUUUUAAGAGUUAAUUUUUAUCAUUGUAGAGCCUCACUAUCACUAUAGGUAAUCAUUGAAAAUAAUCCUAGAUGCGAGCAUCACGAGCGGAAAAUUUUGGACCUCGGCAACAGAUAAGGGAUGCAAAAAGACAUUCGGAUUCUGCUCGUCCAAAAAUCUCCUGCGGAACGAUGCCAGGUGGGCGGCAGGGCAGCCUGACCUUUCGAUUGCGGAGGGAUCCUGCUUGGCCGUAUCUCCAGAUGCGUUAUUGCACGACGAACUCUGCUCUUCAAAGCUGAGAUACGUUUGCGAGGGGAGAGCUCCAACGGGAUCAUUGGUGAACACGGUUGAAAGAGAAUGUGCCCAGGAGUACAUGCUGUCGAGAAGUGAAGUCAAGAAGCUUAUGAAUUCAACGCCAGCCGAGUUGAGGGAAAAAUGUUUCUUAAAAUGUUUUGGCGAGGGUACUGGAUUGGUCUGGGAGAAAGUUAACAUUUUUUUUCAGUGACUGCACAUUAAUCAUUUUUAGUUUGUUGAUGGGAAACUAGCAGGAGAUAAAAUAUUUGCUCAGUUUCAAAAUAUAGCUAUGGAUGAUGUUGAAAAAUUGCUGGACAUGUCUUCGACAAUGGACUUUUGCUCAAAUGCAACAAAGGGCAUGAAUCCCUGUGACAAAGCAAGCAAUCUACUCAAAUGCGGCCAGGAAAAUUCUCCAGAUGCUUUUGGUGAACUUCUAAACGCAGUGGAGCUGACGAUUACAGUUUGAUUAA